rnacentral:lncRNA from 1 species
CAGAAAUUCUUCUAGAGCCUUGCAUAGAGGAAGAGAAAGGGACUACUCCAUGAGCAGCUAGGCUAGCAGUCUCGAGAGUGGAGAAAAAAUUUUAUAACGACACAGAGUAGAUUUAUUGUUUUAAACUUUUUUAUAUUUCUUUAUAUGCAAUAAAUAUUAUGCUUUUUAUUUAAAUCGUCAUGAGCUUUUUAUUUGCUCUCUUUCAUAUGCUUUUAUUUAUACUUUCUUGUUAGAUUAAUAUUAGGAAUAACUUUUACUUUUCGAAGAUGCACCA